rnacentral:lncRNA from 1 species
AGGAAGGCAGUCGUCCUCCCUGGGUACAGUAUGUCAGAUUCCCUUCGAUUGGCAGGAAGGUUGGGCGCUCUCCAUUGCAGUUGCUUUCAGCAGGACAUUAGGCUGAAGCUCCCCUGCCCAGCAGCAGUGCUGAGCUCAAUCAGAGGGCUGCUGGGAAGAAUUCACUGGAAAGGCAGAUUAGACCUUUUGCCAAGCCCACUCUAUGACUUCCGGAGCCUGGGAGCAUAACAAAAUACUGCUGGGAGCUGUGCUGAGUUAGUGCCUGAUACAUACAGUUGGUCAUUAUGUUCCUAGGACCCCAGCGAUUGAGGAGGUGGCUUGGACACCAGAAUUAUUACAGAACUGUUCAGAAUUCACACAGGCCAAGAGCGUUUCCUUUCAUCCCUAGGUGGAUCCCAGGUGACAGAAACAAUGCAGCUUUUGAGAUACCACCACCACACACAGGACAGACAUCUCAGGGGAAGUCUCCAAGCCAAAGCAGCUUUUCUGACAGGUACCAAGUCCAGAUCAAACCCGGAUCAGUCCUCACAAUUUCUGUUGCCAGUCCUCAGGGAGGCCCAAAUAAGCUAUUCAGAAGAACCAAUGAGGAAAGUUCAUUUCAAACAAAUAAAUGGAACUCGCCUAAAAUUGAGAAAAUUCAGCCCAAAGGGAUUUCCCUGAGAUACAAUUUCCGGGCUGUUGCCAAUCAGACUAAAAUUACCCUCAAUGAAAGAUUCUCUGGCCUGCCCAUCCUCCCAAAGGAUUUCACAGUUACCAAACCUCGGAACAGAACCGUCACACUGCCUUAAAUGUUCACAGCUAUGAUAAUACAGAGUUAGUAGUUGCUUAAUGCAUUUUUUUUGCCAGAGAUAGUUAUUUUUCUUCAAAUAGUUUGCUGACAUAGACUUUCCACUUUAUGCUACAGUCUCAGUAAUCCAUUACUGUUGUGUGUAUACAUAUACCCCAAGGAACAAAAUCCCUGUGGGCUCUCUCUCUUCAUGUCCGUUUACUCGCAAAGUUGGCAGGUAACAUAGGAGACAGAAGGGGUGAAACAUCUCCGUGGCUUCUUACAGUCGCACCGUUGUCCUUUCCUCUUUGGGUGCCCUGUAGCAGUGGAGGGUUCGUUCACUCCCAGUUCACUUGUUCAUUAAAACUGAGGAACCCAUUUCAGAUCCUGUUCUACCAUUAGAGUAAACUAGCCCACAGGGGCUGCUCUGUCCAUAGCCUUGGGAGAGCAGUCACUCAGUCCAGCUGAACUUGACAUUUCCAAUGGAACAUCUGGGACAGACUGUUUGGCAUUUCUGUUGACAUUAACUGGCAUUGGACCUUAACAUGGAUUUGUAGAGAUUUACAGGUAGUUGCAUUCUAAGAUGGAGCACUGUCUACUAUGUGUACACAAACUAAAUAAAGACUAUGGAAACCAGGC